rnacentral:tRNA from 1 species
GCCUUCAUAAUGUAGUGGUCAGCACUCUCGACAUGUAACCGAAAGGUCUGUGGUUCGAUUCCCAGUGAAGACG